AGCAGCCGCGGUAAUUCCAGCUCCAAUAGCGUAUAUUAAAGUUGUUGCAGUUAAAAAGCUCGUAGUUGAAUUUCGGGAUCAAUUUAUCGGUCGUGCCAAUGGUAUGAACUGGUACAAUUGGUUUCUCCCUUCUGACGAAGCAUGAUGUCAUUAAUUUGGUGUCGUGGGGAAUCAGGACUGUUACUUUGAAAAAAUUAGAGUGUUUAAAGCAAGCAUUAGCUUGAAUACAUUAGCAUGGAAUAAUGAAAUAGGACGUUUGAUCCUAUUUCGUUGGUUUCUAGGAUCGACGUAAUGAUUAAUAGGGAUAGUUGGGGGCAUUAGUAUUCAAUUGUCAGAGGUGAAAUUCUUGGAUUUAUUGAAGACUAACUACUGCGAAAGCAUUUGCCAAGGAUGUUUUCAUUAAUCAAGAACGAAAGUUAGGGGAUCGAAGACGAUCAGAUACCGCCGUAGUCUUAACCAUAAACUAUGCCGACUAGGGAUCGGAUGAUGUUAAUUUUUUAAUGACUCAUUCGGCGCCUUACG
rnacentral:rRNA from 1 species